rnacentral:rRNA from 1 species
CAGUCAUACCAACGGGAAAUCAACCUCUUGAGUUUGGUCUUGUGGUUUCGAAGAGUUUAAAAGCCUUCGGAUUUGCGAGGAUUGGGCUCUUCUGGUGUACUUUCUCGUACGGUUAGUCAACAUCGGUUUUGAAUGUCGUAAAAUGACUGGAGGAAUGUAGCUUUGAUCUCGUAUCGAAGUGUUAUAGCCUCUGGUAGAUGUGACGAUUGGGGAUUGAGGAUUGCAACGGAUACCCCUCGGGGGCUACCCGUCUGAUCUCUGAAGUUGCUCCGGUGGCGAAAGCGUGCUUACGGUCAUCGAAAGUGAUUUUCAAAAGGUUAGAGCGGGUUAAAUUCGUUAAGGAUGUUGACGUAAUGG